CCUACGGGUGGCAGCAGUGAGGAAUAUUGGUCAAUGGACGCAAGUCUGAACCAGCCAUGCCGCGUGCAGGAUGACGGCUCUAUGAGCUGUAAACUGCUUUUGUACGAGGGUAAACCCCGAUACGUGUAGCGGGUUGAAAGUAUCGUACGAAUAAGGAUCGGCUAACGCCGUGCCAGCAGCCGCGGUAAUACGGAGGAUCCGAGCGUUAGCCGGAUUUAGUGGGUUUAAGGGGGGCGUAGGCGGUUUGAUAAGUUAGAGGUGAAAUGUCGGGGCUCAACCCCGGAACUGCCUCUAAUACUGUUUGACUGGAGAGUAGUAGCGGUAGGCGGAAUGUAUGGUGUAGCGGUGAAAUGCUUAGAGAUCAUGCAGAACACCGAUGGCGAAGGCAGCUUGCCGAACUAUAUCUGACGUUGAGGCACGAAAGCGUGGGUAGCAAACAGGAUUAGAUACCCUUGUAGUC
rnacentral:rRNA from 1 species